CGCCCCACCCCCGGGCCAGCAGGGCCUCCGAGUGGGCCGGUGUGCUCCCCAGUCCCCCGCGAGGCGCCACCCCUGGCGUGUGGCUGGCACUAGUGUACCCCGCCUUCACCACAAGUGGUGGAAGGGCUCCGUCCCACGAGCUGGCUCGGCAGAGUUAAUAAUAUCGUAUCCUUCCUGAGGCUGAGUCCAAGCUUAGGCUCUCGUUUUUCCUCUAUGUCAGCUGCCUGCCAGCCAGUGCCACGUCGGGCAGGGAGCUCCGACUCAAACCUGAGCUCACCUCGGCUCUGUGCAACUCUGGUUAACCGUUUCUGAGCCUGGGCUUGGGAGCCGAUGCUGCCUGUCCUACUGCAUGACAAUGCUAGAUCACAGCUUAUAACAAUACUCAAAGAAGAAGAAACUUUGAGGCAUCCUUCUUAUGAACCACAUAUAUUUAUAAGGAUGCCAAAGAAGCUAUAGCAGUGGAAAUAUUUGGACCUGUGAACUCGUUAAAAAAGACUCCUGUAUUGACAUUGGAAGAGAUCCUGUCAGAGAGGGUUCUGGUAACUUGAUCUUGCAGAAAGUCAGCCCUUGCCUAGAACUGAAGUAGUCUACCCUAGGGGCCAGAGAACUGUGUUACAGGAAGGGGAUCUAGUGUGGUCACAGGCAACAGUGGAAUAAGGCUGACUGCACUGGGUCAUUUCCACAUGGGGACUUCUAAGAGGAGCUUGACUCUGGAGCUUCUUCACUGGCCUGAGGAAGACUUGUGGGGUGCAUUGCGGUCUGAUUCCCACCACCUCUCAUCCUGUGCACAUGAUUCUCCAGUACAAUGUUGGCAUUCCUAGCUCUCAGUGUCUUUCUCCUGGAGAACAAAGCUGGUAUUGUGAAAGCCAAUGCAGGCUCGCAGGAACCCUAAGAAGCAGGUGCUAACGCACAAGUCCUGAUCAUGAAGAAAAGCUAGUCAAGUCGGAAAUGGUGACUGCUAGAGAGGAGGAAAGGAACCUGGAGGAGAAGGCUUAGCCCAGAUCAAACCAGAGCUACUGCACCUUGGUAGUGUGGUUUGAAUGGCAUGUCCUCAAAGGCCCCUGUGUUAAGGGCUGAACCCCAUCCUGUGGCACUAUUGGGAGUGGUGAGACUUUUAGGAAGUGAAGUCUACUUUGCUGUUCUACAGAGUCCACAGUUGGUGUGCUCUUUGGGGAGGUUUAGGAGGUGUGGCCUUGCUGAAAGGUGUAUGUCACUGGGGUGGGCUUUGAAAGCUUAAAGCCUCUGUCUCCUUCCAGUUAUCUCUCUGCUUUGUGCUUGCAGUGGAGGAUCUGAGCUUCCACUUCCUGCUCUCGCUGUCAUGCAUGUCUGAUGCCAGGUUUCCCUGUCUGGAUGGACUCCACCCCUCUGGAAAUAGUAGCCCAAAUAAACGCUUCAUUCUAUAAAUUGCCUGGCCUUGGCCAUGAUACUUUAUCACAGCAACAGCUAAAUAACUAACACACCUAGGAAAGGAAGUUAUGUCAUUGGAGGCAUGCCUUUGAUGGGUAUAUUGGGAUCCUAGCCUUUUCUCAGUCCCGCUUUUACUUCCUGGCAAUCAAAAGCCUCUACAACUGUGAAAAAUAGAUUCACUGAUGACAUCCAGCUUGCAGUAUUUCAUUGCAGCAGCCCUCACAGACGAAUGUGAACGUCUUGGUGUAGUGUGCUGUCUGAGGCCCUGGAGUUAUGAAGCUGUUCUUCGCUCCCCCUGCAUCCCUGCCUGUCCUUCUCCGCCCUCACUGCCCCUCCUCCCUCCCAGCGUGCUGCAGUUACUCAUCAGGUUGUUUACUAUGAACCUUGGGAAACCUCAAGACUCUUUGGAGAAUUCAUUUUGGCUGUUCAAGCACCAAAGGCCUGGGAAGCCUGUAUUUACUUUUCCCUAACAGAUCAGGAAACCAUGAGGGGAGCUGAGUCAGACCUGUCUCAACUAACAGGUCAGGAUGGCCUAGAAGCAAUCUGACUGAAGUAAGAGAAGCAAGUGUCCUGCCAGUCUAUUGUCACGGAUGUGGAAUCCCCAAGGAGAAGAGGGGCUCUCAUAUGUAUGAGAAACAAGUUUGUAAGAAAGCUCUGGAAUGUGAACAUUCCUUGAGACUCCAGUGAUAACCGGAGAUAAAUUUGGACUUCUGGGACAUCCUAUUUCUGUGCUAUGUCUUCGCCCACUCCCUUCUUGGCUGGUGGGAAAAAGAGGUAAAGAAUUUCAGAAUGGGAGGCAUUUAUUCUGAUAUUUUUUUCCUGUUUGUUUAAAUCUCUGGGCUGACACUGCAAUCCCCACUUCCUUUCCUUUCUCUUCUCUUGCUGUGUUUUGACUUUUCUUCUGUGAUAGUUGAUCUUUAAAUAGAUCAAGUAUGAAGUUUUA